rnacentral:rRNA from 1 species
UCGUGGGGUGACUUGUCUGCUUAAUUGCGAUAACGAACGAGACCUUAUUCUGCUAAAUAGCCAGGCUAGCUUUGGCUGGUCGCCGGCUUCUUAGAGAGACUAUCGGCUCAAGCCGAUGGAAGUUUGAGGCAAUAACA